CCCCUCCUACGGGAGGCAGCAGUGAGGAAUAUUGGUCAAUGGGCGGAAGCCUGAACCAGCCAAGUCGCGUGAGGGAAUAAGGCCCUACGGGUCGUAAACCUCUUUUGCCGGGGAGCAAGGGCCGGGACGCGUCCCGGCCCGGAGAGUACCCGGAGAAAAAGCAUCGGCUAACUCCGUGCCAGCAGCCGCGGUAAUACGGAGGAUGCGAGCGUUAUCCGGAUUUAUUGGGUUUAAAGGGUGCGUAGGCGGGCUUUUAAGUCAGCGGUAAAAAUUCGGGGCUCAACCCCGUCUGG
rnacentral:rRNA from 1 species